AGAGAAGCAAUGCGGCGACGCAAAGCGGAACUUGAAAGCCUGUCUCAGUUCGGAUUGGAGUCUGCAACUCGACUCCAUGAAGCUGGAUUCGCUAGUAAUCGCGCAUCAGCCAUGGCGCGGUGAAUACGUUCCCGGGCCUUGUACACACCGCCCGUCAAGCCAUGGGAGCCGGGGGUGCCUGAAGUUCGUGACCGCAAGGAGCGACCUAGGGCAAAACUGGUGACUGGGGCUAAGUCGUAACAAGGUAAC
rnacentral:rRNA from 1 species